rnacentral:rRNA from 1 species
AAUAGAUACCCCGGUAGUCCACGCCGUAAACGAUGAGUGCUAAGUGUUGGGGGGUUUCCGCCCCUCAGUGCUGCAGCUAACGCAUUAAGCACUCCGCCUGGGGAGUACGGUCGCAAGACUGAAACUCAAAGGAAUUGACGGGGGCCCGCACAAGCGGUGGAGCAUGUGGUUUAAUUCGGAGCAACGCGAAGAACCUUACCAGGUCUUGACAUCCCGGUGACCACUAUGGAGACAUAGUUUCCCCUUCGGGGGCAACGGUGACAGGUGGUGCAUGGUUGUCGUCAGCUCGUGUCGUGAGAUGUUGGGUUAAGUCCCGCAACGAGCGCAACCCUUAUUCUUAGUUGCCAUCAUUCAGUUGGGCACUCUAAGGAGACUGCCGGUGAUAAACCGGAGGAAGGUGGGGAUGACGUCAAAUCAUCAUGCCCCUUAUGACCUGGGCUACACACGUGCUACAAUGGACGGUACAAACGGUUGCCAACCCGCGAGGGGGAGCUAAUCCGAUAAAACCGUUCUCAGUUCGGAUUGUAGGCUGCAACUCGCCUACA